GACAGAGGGUGCAAACGUUGCUCGGAAUCACUGGGCGUAAAGGGCGUGUAGGCGGGAAGGAAAGUCAGAUGUGAAAUCCCUGGGCUCAACCCAGGAACUGCAUUUGAAACUCCCUUUCUUGAGUGUCGGAGAGGAAAGCGGAAUUCCUGGUGUAGAGGUGAAAUUCGUAGAUAUCAGGAGGAACACCGGUGGCGAAGGCGGGUCUCUGGGCCGUAACUGACGCUGAGGAGCGAAAGCAUGGGGAGCGAACAGG
rnacentral:rRNA from 1 species